rnacentral:rRNA from 1 species
AACGAACGCUGGCGGCAUGCCUAACACAUGCAAGUCGAACGAGACCUUCGGUUCUAGUGGCGCACGGGUGCGUAACGCGUGGGAACCUGCCCUUAGGUUCGGAAUAACUCCCCGAAAGGGGUGCUAAUACCGGAUAAUGUCUUCGGACCAAAGAUUUAUCGCCUUGGGAUGGGCCCGCGUUGGAUUAGCUAGUUGGUAGGGUAAAAGCCUACCAAGGCGACGAUCCAUAGCUGGUCUGAGAGGAUGAUCAGCCACACUGGGACUGAGACACGGCCCAGACUCCUACGGGAGGCAGCAGUGGGGGAUAUUGGACAAUGGGCGAAAGCCUGAUCCAGCAAUGCCGCGUGAGUGAUGAAGGCCUUAGGGUUGUAAAGCUCUUUUACCCGGGAUGAUAAUGACAGUACCGGGAGAAUAAGCUCCGGCUAACCCCGUG